UACGGAGGGGGCUAGCGUUGUUCGGAAUUACUGGGCGUAAAGCGCACGUAGGCGGCUUUGUAAGUUAGAGGUGAAAGCCCGGGGCUCAACUCCGGAAUUGCCUUUAAGACUGCAUCGCUAGAAUUGUGGAGAGGGAUGCGGAAUUCCAGGUGUAGCGGUGAAAUGCGUAGAUAUCUGGAGGAACACCGGUGGCGAAGGCGGCAUCCUGGACCGGUAUUGACGCUGAGGCGCGAAAGCCAGGGGAGCAAACGGG
rnacentral:rRNA from 1 species